rnacentral:misc_RNA from 1 species
GGAAGUAAAAGUCAUAACAAGGUCUCCGUUGGUGAACCAGCGGAGGGAUCAUUACCGAGUUUACAACUCCCAAACCCCUAUGUGAACGUUACCAAACUGUUGCCUCGGCGGGAAAUUCAUGCCCCGGGCGCGUCGCAGCCCCGGACCGAGGCGCCCGCCGGAGGACCAACCAAAACUCUUUUGUAUGUCCCUCGCGGACUUUUAUAAUUCUGAACCAUCUCGGCGCCCCUAGCGGGCGUUUCGAAGAUGAAUCAAAACUUUCAACAACGGAUCUCUUGGUUCUG